UACAGAGGGUGCGAGCGUUGUCCGGAAUCACUGGGCGUAAAGGGCGCGUAGGUGGCCCGACAAGUCAAUGGUGAAAGUUCGACGCUUAACGUCGAAUCGGCCACUGAUACUGUUGGGCUGGAGCACUGUAGAGGCUCAUGGAAUUCCGGGUGUAGCGGUGGAAUGCGUAGAGAUCCGGAAGAACACCGGUGGCGAAGGCGGUGAGCUGGGCAGUUGCUGACACUGAGGCGCGACAGCGUGGGGAGCAAACAGGG
rnacentral:rRNA from 1 species